GACGAACGCUGGCGGCGGGCUUAACACAUGCAAGUCGAACGAGAAGCUCCAGCUUGCUGGAGUGGAAAGUGGCGAACGGGUGCGUAACGCGUAGGCAACCUGCUCUUUAGUACGGAAUAACUUCGGGAAACCGAUGCUAAUACCGUAUACCGUCUUAGGACCGCAUGGUCCAAGGAUGAAAGCCUUCGGGCGCUAAGGGAUGGGCCUGCGUCGGAUUAGGUAGUUGGUGAGGUAAUGGCUCACCAAGCCUGCGAUCCGUAGCUGGUCUGAGAGGAUGAUCAGCCACACUGGCACUGAGACACGGGCCAG
rnacentral:rRNA from 1 species